UGGGGAAUCUUCCGCAAUGGGCGCAAGCCUGACGGAGCAAUGCCGCGUGAACGAAGAAGGUCUUCGGAUUGUAAAGUUCUGUCCUUAUCGAAGAGAGGGUAUAGAGUGAAAAAUGAUAUACUAGGACGGUAGAUGAGGAGGAAGCCCCGGCUAACUACGUGCCAGCAGCCGCGGUAAUACGUAGGGGGCGAGCGUUGUCCGGAAUCACUGGGCGUAAAGGGCGCGUAGGCGGUAAUAUAAGUCAGAUGUGAAAGGUGGGGGCUCAACCCCUAGAGUGCAACUGAUACUGUAUAACUUGAGUGUGAGAGAGGGAAGCGGAAUUCCUAGUGUAGCGGUGAAAUGCGUAGAUAUUAGGAGGAACACCAGUGGCGAAGGCGGCUUUCUGGCUCAUAACUGACGCUGAGGCGCGAAAGCGUGGGGAGCAAACAGG
rnacentral:rRNA from 1 species